GCUGAUGUGGCUCAGCGGUAGAGCAGCGCACUCGUAAUGCGCAGGUCGCCGGUUCGAAUCCGGCCAUCAGCUCCA
rnacentral:tRNA from 15 species